rnacentral:rRNA from 1 species
AUUGAACGCUGGCGGCAGGCUUAACACAUGCAAGUCGAACGGUAACAGGUCCUUCGGGAUGCUGACGAGUGGCGGACGGGUGAGUAAAGCGUAGGGAUCUGCCUUUUGGAGAGGGAUAACCUAGGGAAACUUAGGGUAAUACCGCAUGAAACUUAAGGGUUAAAGCAGGGGACCGCAAGGCCUUGCGCCAGAAGAUGAACCUACGUCGGAUUAGCUAGUUGGUAGGGUAAAAGCCUACCAAGGCGAAGAUCCGUAGCUGGUCUGAGAGGACGACCAGCCACACUGGGACUGAGACACGGCCCAGACUCCUACGGGAGGCAGCAGUGGGGAAUAUUGGACAAUGGGCGAAAGCCUGAUCCAGCAAUGCCGCGUGUGUGAAGAAGGCCUGCGGGUUGUAAAGCACUUUCGUUGGGGAGGAGAGGUCCUGGUUGAAUAAACUGGGGAAGAGACGUUACCCAAAGAAGAAGCACCGGCUAACUCUGUGCCAGCCGCCGCCGUAAAAC